rfam:Triticum aestivum genome assembly, contig: Triticum_aestivum_CS42_TGACv1_scaffold_211259_3AS
AUAAUACUCCCUCCGUCCGGAAAUACUUGUCCUCGAAAUGGUUGUAUCUAGACUUAUUUUAGUUAUAGAUACAUUUAUUUUAUCCAUUUUUAGGACAAAUAUUUUCAGAAGGAGGGAAUAUGUU